UUCGCAAUGCCCGAAAGGGUGACGAAGCGACGCCGCGUGCGGGAAGAAGGCCUUCGGGUUGUAAACCGCUGUCAGGAGUUAGGAAAUGCAUAGGGGUUAAUAGUCCUUUUGCUUGACUAAGGCUCCAGAGGAAGCCACGGCUAACUCUGUGCCAGCAGCCGCGGUAAUACAGAGGCGGCAAGCGUUGUUCGGAAUUAUUGGGCGUAAAGAGCACGUAGGCGGCCCUGAAAGUCAGUUGUGAAAGCCUUCCGCUUAACGGAAGAACGGCUUCUGAUACUGCAGGGCUAGAGUACGGAAGGGGAGAGUGGAACUUCUGGUGGAGCGGUGAAAUGCGUAGAUAUCAGAAGGAACGCCGGCGGCGAAAGCGACUCUCUGGUCCUUAACUGACGCUGAGUGUGCGAAAGCUAGGGGAGCAAACGGGAUUAGAUACCCCGGUAGUCCUAGCCGUAAACGAUGGGCACUAAGUAGAGGGGUUUU
rnacentral:rRNA from 1 species